GUAAGGAAUAUUGGUCAAUGGACGCAAGUCUGAACCAGCCAUGCCGCGUGGAGGAUUAAGGCCCUCUGGGUUGUAAACUCCUUUUAUCUGGGAAGAAAUGUACUUUUUCUUGAGUACUUGACGGUACCAGAGGAAUAAGCACCGGCUAACUCCGUGCCAGCAGCCGCGGUAAUACGGAGGGUGCACGCGUUAUCCGGAUUCACUGGGUUUAAAGGGUGCGUAGGUGGGCAGGUAAGUCAGUGGUGAAAUCUCCGGGCUUAACCCGGAAACUGCCGUUGAUACUAUUUGUCUUGAAUAUUGUGGAGGUAAGCGGAAUAUGUCAUGUAGCGGUGAAAUGCUUAGAUAUGACAUAGAACACCAAUUGCGAAGGCAGCUUACUACACAAUGAUUGACGCUGAUGCACGAAAGCGUGGGGAGCGAACA
rnacentral:rRNA from 1 species